GAUGAACGCUAGCGACAGGCCCAACACAUGCAAGUCGAGGGGCAGCACAUGAGUAGCAAUACGAUGGUGGCGACCGGCGCACGGGUGAGUAACACGUAUGCAACCUGCCUUCUACUAUGGGAUAACCCGUUGAAAGACGGACUAAUACCGUAUAAUACAGGGGCUCCGCAUGGAGAUAUUUGUUAAAGAUCUAUUGGUAGAAGAUGGGCAUGCGUAUGAUUAGAUAGUUGGUGAGGUAACGGCUCACCAAGUCAACGAUCAUUAGGGGUUCUGAGAGGAAGGUCACCCACACUGGUACUGAGACACGGACCAGACUCCUACGGGAGGCAGCAGUGAGGAAUAUUGGUCAAUGGACGAGAGUCUGAACCAGCCAAGUCGCGUGAAGGAAGACGGUUCUAUGAAUUGUAAACUUCUUUUGUGCAGGAAUAAAGUGGGUUACGUGUAACCUUUUGUAUGUACUGUACGAAUAAGGAUCGGCUAACUCCGUGCCAGCAGCCGCAGUAA
rnacentral:rRNA from 1 species